GUGACAUACAGGCCUAAUAGACCAGCAUGAUCAUUUAUAAACUCAAAACAUAGGCCGACAAGGCCGUACAAUAUUUCACAUACACGACAUUUGUCUACAAGCUUCUAAGAGUACAUGAUUAUCAUAAAGGUCGGGACAGAGUCCCGCCAUACCAAAACAUAUACAUCUAAAUCAUACUGACCAAAUAAGCAACUCCAGAGCAAAUGGAGUGCACUAAUAUCUUCUGUUGAGCUAAUCGCCUACUUGGAGGACUUUCGACCUCCCUAUCGAGACCUGCGGGCAUGAAACGCAGUGUCCCCAGGCAAAAGGGAUGUCAGUACAAAUAAUGUAUCGAGUAUGUAUGGAAUAAAAAUCAGUAAAUAAUAGACAUGAGAGAAACAUGGAGUAAAAGACUCAACAUGUAUGUCUGAAUAGCUCUGUAAAUCAUUUUAUAUUUAUAAUGUCAUGCAUAUGCGUAUAAUGUCAUACCAUGCUUAGGUAUAUGCGUUCAUAACAUCAUCAAGCCUCUAAGGGCAUCCCAUCAUAUCAUUUCGGCCACUGUGGACAAAUCAUUAACGUAUACCAGCUGAUUAGGUGGUGGUGCGUAUAUAACGCCAUAACCUUUUCUCAUAUCCCAUAUACAUAUAAUAUACACGAAUAUAACGCCAUUUGGUCAUGGGUUAAUGUACAUGUAUAAAUGCAUGAAAUGCAUAGAAAUACGUUAAUAAGAUUUUCUCGGAAUGUCAUAAAAAUAAUAUGCAUGUCGGAUAAAUUUUAUGAAAUACGUAUUUUUCUGGGACCUAUGAACAGAAGAUAUAAUAAUGAUUUACAUGGGGAAUCAAGAAUAUAGACACCCCUAAUAUUUCUAUGAAUAGAGUCAUUUAUGAAAAUUGUGCAUUUGCGCGUUUCGUUUGUAUCGUAUUGAUCAUGCCAAAAAGAAAGAAGGGAUAGCCUUAACAUACCUGGGACGAUUCUCUUGACAAUCCCUCUAACACACGUCAAUUGCGACAACAUGUAAUGGCAGAUUGAAGUAGGAGAAAAUCCAUAGAAUAUUCUUGAGAAAGAUUGCACCAUACUCCCUUAGAAUUGCAAAUCCCCGUUGAAGCAGAGUCACGUCAAUCUAUCUCACUUUGCUGCUUAACUCCAAGAGGAGAAGCUAUGAUGUAAGAAACUAUCCAGUCAUAAUAUAUAUAAGGGUCUCCCGCUAAACAAACUGUUAUCAAGUUGAGAGGCAAACUCAAGAAAAAGAGACAUAAAUAAUUUGGUAAUCCAGAGAAUAUUUGAUUGCGACUCCAGCCGUAGCUUUCUUGUUAUCUGGUAAUUGUUGUAAUGCAAUAUGAAGAAAUAGUAAGAAAUGGGGGAAACCGUAGCUUUGGGAUCUUGAAUUGUCACUUUAGAAUUUGCUUCUUCUGGUUUCCUAUGAAUUGUUGAG
rnacentral:lncRNA from 1 species